UGGAGAUGGGCAUUCCGCGCC
rnacentral:misc_RNA from 1 species